rnacentral:rRNA from 1 species
GAUGAACGCUGGCGGCGUGCCUAAUGCAUGCAAGUCGAGCGAACGGACGAGAAGCUUGCUUCUCUGAUGUUAGCGGCGGACGGGUGAGUAACACGUGGAUAACCUACCUAUAAGACUGGGAUAACUUCGGGAAACCGGAGCUAAUACCGGAUAAUAUUUUGAACCGCAUGGUUCAAAAGUAAAAGACGGUCUUGCUGUCACUUAUAGAUGGAUCCGCGCUGCAUUAGCUAGUUGGUAAGGUAACGGCUUACCAAUGCAACGAUGCAUAGCCGACCUGAGAGGGUGAUCGGCCACACUGGAACUGAGACACGGUCCAGACUCCUACGGGAGGCAGCAGUAGGGAAUCUUCCGCAAUGGGCGAAAGCCUGACGGAGCAACGCCGCGUGAGUGAUGAAGGUCUUCGGAUCGUAAAACUCUGUUAUUAGGGAAGAACAUAUGUGUAAGUAACUGUGCACAUCUUGACGGUACCUAAUCAGAAAGCCACGGCUAACUACGUG